rnacentral:rRNA from 1 species
GACGAACGCUGGCGGCGUGCUUAACACAUGCAAGUCGAACGGAAAGGCCUCUUUCGGGGGGUACUCGAGUGGCGAACGGGUGAGUAACACGUGAGUAACCUGCCCUUGACUUUGGGAUAACUUCAGGAAACUGGGGCUAAUACCGGAUAGGAGCUCCUGCUGCAUGGUGGGGGUUGGAAAGUUUCGGCGGUUGGGGAUGGACUCGCGGCUUAUCAGCUUGUUGGUGGGGUAGUGGCUUACCAAGGCUUUGACGGGUAGCCGGCCUGAGAGGGUGACCGGCCACAUUGGGACUGAGAUACGGCAGACUCCUACGGGAGGCAGCAGUGGGGAAUAUUGCACAAUGGGUGGAAGCCUGAUGCAGCAACGCCGUGUGCGGGAUGACGGCCUUCGGGUUGUAAACCGCUUUCGCUCAUGACGAAGCUUUGUGUGACGGUAGUGGGUAAAGAAGCACCGGCUAACUACGUG